AUUGAACGCUGGCGGCAUGCCUUACACAUGCAAGUCGAACGGCAGCACGGGAGCAAUCCUGGUGGUGAGUGGCGAACGGGUGAGUAAAGUAUCGGAACGUGCCCAGUCGUGGGGGAUAACGUAGCGAAAGUUACGCUAAUACCGCAUACGAUCUAUGGAUGAAAGCGGGGGAUCGCAAGACCUCGCGCGAUUGGAGCGGCCGAUAUCAGAUUAGGUAGUUGGUGGGGUAAAGGCUCACCAAGCCGACGAUCUGUAGCUGGUCUGAGAGGACGACCAGCCACACUGGGACUGAGACACGGCCCAGACUCCUACGGGAGGCAGCAGUGGGGAAUUGUGGACAAUGGGCGAAAGCCUGAUCCAGCCAUGCCGCGUGCAGGAUGAAGGCCUUCGGGUUGUAAACUGCUUUUGUACGGAACGAAAAGGUUUGGCCUAAUAAGCUGAGCUCAUGACGGUACCGUAAGAAUAAGCACCGGCUAACUACGUGCCAGCAGCCGCCGUAA
rnacentral:rRNA from 1 species